CCAGCAUGCUACAAAAGAGCUUGAUAACUCAGAUGGCAAGCUUUUUAAAAUGCAAGUACAACAUGUAACACCUGGAACAAUCCCCGGCUCCCUGGAACAUCUUCAGAGGACUGGCAAGGCUGUUCAACUUCAAGAAAGAAAGACUGUUCAUAUUUGGAAUAGUGUGUCCUGGCUGUCAUUCAUGUGCUAGGAGGCAGAAGACUGAGUACCAGAAAAAGAUGUGGUCAACCUCGGAGUACAGGAAACCACGGAGGGAACUGUUUCUUUAUCUUGUUUGCUGGACUACAGCAAUGCAACCAGGAGAGCAGGACUUGGAACCUGUAAGAUUCUGGGCCAAAACACAUAUUUCUUCUUUGAACUUGCUCAUUUUAGGCUUUUUAUAACAGAGGGAAAGCUAGCACAUCCCUCUAUACACACACACACACACACACACACACA